AAGACCUUGCGCUUUUGGAGCGGCCGAUGCCUGAUUAGCUUGUUGGUAAGGUAAAAGCUUACCAAGGCUUCGAUCAGUAGCUGGUCUGAGAGGACGACCAGCCACACUGGGACUGAGACACGGCCCAGACUCCUACGGGAGGCAGCAGUGGGGAAUUUUGGACAAUGGGGGCAACCCUGAUCCAGCCAUGCCGCGUGAGUGAAGAAGGCCUUCGGGUUGUAAAGCUCUUUCAGCCGGAACGAAACGGUUACGGUUAACACCCGUGACUACUGACGGUACCGGAAGAAGAAGCACCGGCUAACUACGUGCCAGCAGCCGCGGUAAUACGUAGGGUGCGAGCGUUAAUCGGAAUUACUGGGCGUAAAGCGUGCGCAGGUGGCUUUGUAAGUCAGAUGUGAAAUCCCCGGGCUUAACCUGGGAACU
rnacentral:rRNA from 1 species